UUGGCGGCGUGCUUACACUGCAAGUCGAACGAGAACGGUUUCUUCGGAGACCUAGUAAAGUGGCGCACGGGUGAGUAACACGUAGAUAACCUGUCCAGGUGUUCGGGAUAGCCCUUCGAAAGGGGGAUUAAUACCGGAUACGUUAGUCUGUCAUAAGGCGGAUUAAGAAAGGUGGCCUCUAUUUAUAAGCUAUCGCAUUUGGAGGGGUCUGCGUACCAUUAGUUAGUUGGUGGGGUAAUGGCCUACCAAGACAUCGAUGGUUAGCGGGUCUGAGAGGAUGAUCCGUCACACUGGCACUGAAACACGGGCCAGACUCCUACGGGAGGCAGCAGUGAGGAAUAUUGCGCAAUGGGGGAAACCCUGACGCAGCGACGCCGCGUGGGUGAGGAAGGCUUUCGGGUCGUAAAGCCCUGUCAGAAGGGAAGAAGUGUGUAUAAGAUAAUACCUUAUACAUUUGACGGUACCUUCAAAGGAAGCACCGGCUAACUCCGUGCCAGCAGCCGCGGUAAUACGGAGGGUG
rnacentral:rRNA from 1 species